CCGUGAUUAAUCGUUUGCUAUGUCAGUAUAUAUGCGUGUAUA
rnacentral:tRNA from 1 species